rnacentral:rRNA from 1 species
GCUCAUUAUAUAAGUUAUCGUUUAUUUGAUAGUGCCUUACUACUUGGAUAACCGUGGUAAUUCUAGAGCUAAUACAUGCUACAAGCCCUGACUUCGGAAGGGGCGUAUUUAUUAGAUUAAAAGCCAAUGCCCUCUGGGCUCCUUGGUGAAUCAUGAUAACUUCACGAAUCGCACGGCCUUGCGCCGGCGAUGGCUCAUUCAAAUUUCUUCCCUAUCAACUUUCGAUGUUUGGGUAGUGGCCAAACAUGGUUGCAACGGGUAACGGAGGGUUAGGGCUCGACCCCGGAGAAGGAGCCUGAGACACGGCUACUACAUCCAAGGAAGGCAGCAGGCGCGCAAAUUACCCAAUCCCGAUUCGGGGAGGUAGUGACAAUAAAUACUGAUACAGGGCUCUUUCGGGUCUUGUAAUCGGAAUGAGUACAAUUUAAAUCCCUUAACGAGGAACAAUUGGAGGGCAAGUCUGGUGCCAGCAGCCGCGGUAAUUCCAGCUCCAAUAGCGUAUAUUAAAGUUGUUGUGGUUAAAAAGCUCGUAGUUGAACCUUGGGCCUGGCUGGCCGGUCCGCCUCACCGCGUGUACUGGUCCGGCCGGGCCUUUCCCUCUGUGGAACCUCAUGCCCUUCACUGGGUGUGCUGGGGAAACAGGACUUUUACUUUGAAAAAAUUAGAGUGCUCCAGGCAGGCCUAUGCUCGAAUACAUUAGCAUGGAAUAAUAAAAUAGGACGUGCGGUUUUAUUUUGUUGGUUUCUAAGACCGCCGUAAUGAUUAAUAGGGACAGUCGGGGGCAUCAGUAUUCAAUUGUCAGAGGUGAAAUUCUUGGAUUUAUUGAAGACUAACUACUGCGAAAGCAUUUGCCAAGGAUGUUUUCAUUAAUCAGGAACGAAAGUUAGGGGAUCGAAAACGAUCAGAUACCGUUGUAGUCUUAACCAUAAACUAUGCCGACUAGGGAUCGGACGAUGUUAUUUUUUGACUCGUUCGGCACCUUACGAGAAAUCAAAGUGC